rnacentral:rRNA from 1 species
UACGUAGGGUGCGAGCGUUAAUCGGAAUUACUGGGCGUAAAGCGAGCGCAGACGGUUUAUUAAGCAAGAUGUGAAAUCCCCGAGCUUAACUUGGGAACUGCGUUUUGAACUGGUAAGCUAGAGUAUGUCAGAGGGGGGUAGAAUUCCACGUGUAGCAGUGAAAUGCGUAGAGAUGUGGAGGAAUACCGAUGGCGAAGGCAGCCCCCUGGGAUAAUACUGACGUUCAUGCUCGAAAGCGUGGGUAG